UGGGAACGUGCCCUUUGGUUCGGAAUAACUCAGGGAAACUUGAGCUAAUACCGGAUAAGUCCGUAAGGAGAAAGAUUUAUCGCCGAAGGAGCGGCCCGCGUCCGAUUAGCUAGUUGGUGGGGUAAUGGCCCACCAAGGCUACGAUCGGUAGCUGGUCUGAGAGGAUGACCAGCCACACUGGGACUGAGACACGGCCCAGACUCCGUACGGGAGGCAG
rnacentral:rRNA from 1 species